rnacentral:rRNA from 1 species
AGUGAACGCUGGCGGUAGGCCUAACACAUGCAAGUCGAACGGCAGCACAGAGGAGCUUGCUCCUUGGGUGGCGAGUGGCGGACGGGUGAGGAAUACAUCGGAAUCUACUCUGUCGUGGGGGAUAACGUAGGGAAACUUACGCUAAUACCGCAUACGACCUACGGGUGAAAGCAGGGGACCUUCGGGCCUUGCGCGAUUGAAUGAGCCGAUGUCGGAUUAGCUAGUUGGCGGGGUAAAGGCCAACCAAGGCGACGAUCCGUAGCUGGGCUGAGAGGAUGAUCAGACAAACUGAGACGGGGACACGGUCCAGACUACUACGGGGGGCAGCAGUGAGGAAUGGUGGACAAUGGGCGCAAACCUGAUCCAGCAAUACCGCGUGGGUGAAGAAGGCCUUCGGGUUGUAAAGCCCUUUUGUUGGGAAAGAAAUCCAGCUGGCUAAUACCCGGUUGGGAUGACGGUACCCAAAGAAUAAGCACCGGCUAACUUCGUGCCAGCCGCCGCAGUAA